GGGAUGUAGCUCAGUGGUAGAGCACUUGCCUAGUAUGCAUAAGGCCCACUGUUCAAUCCCUAGAACCCAUCCCA
rnacentral:tRNA from 1 species